rnacentral:rRNA from 1 species
ACCUGCGGAGGGAUCAUUACCGAGUUUACAACUCCCAAACCCAUGUGAACAUACCUACUGUUGCUUCGGCGGGAUUGCCCCGGGCGCCUCGUGUGCCCCGGACCAGGCGCCCGCCUAGGAAACUUAAUUCUUGUUUUAUUUUGGAAUCUUCUGAGUAGUUUUUACAAAUAAAUAAAAACUUUCAACAACGGAUCUCUUGGUUCUGGCAUCGAUGAAGAACGCAGCGAAAUGCGAUAAGUAAUGUGAAUUGCAGAAUUCAGUGAAUCAUCGAAUCUUUGAACGCACAUUGCGCCCGCCAGUAUUCUGGCGGGCAUGCCUGUCUGAGCGUCAUUUCAACCCUCAUGCCCCUAGGGCGUGGUGUUGGGGAUCGGCCAAAGCCCGCGAGGGACGGCCGGCCCCUAAAUCUAGUGGCGGACCCGUCGUGGCCUCCUCUGCGAAGUAGUGAUAUUCCGCAUCGGAGAGCGACGAGCCCCUGCCGUUAAACCCCCAACUUUCCAAGGUUGACCUCAGAUCAGGUAGGAAUACCCGCUGAACUUAAGCAUAUCAAUAAGCGGAGGAA